rnacentral:rRNA from 1 species
UACGUAGGGUGCGAGCGUUGUCCGGAAUUACUGGGCGUAAAGAGUUCGUAGGCGGUUUGUCGCGUCGUUCGUGAAAACUUGGGGCUUAACUCCAAGCGUGCGGGCGAUACGGGCAGACUUGAGUACUACAGGGGAGACUGGAAUUCCUGGUGUAGCGGUGAAAUGCGUAGAUAUCGCUUGGAACGCCGACGGUGAAAACAGCUCGCUGGGGGUCUUCUGACGCUGAGACACGAAAGCCAGGGGAGCGAACGGG